CUGCUGCCUUCCGUAGGAGUUUGGGCCGUGUCUCAGUCCCAAUGUGGCCGUCCACCCUCUCAGGCCGGCUACUGAUCGUCGCCUUGGUGGGCCGUUACCCCGCCAACAAGCUAAUCAGACGUGGGUCCAUCUUACACCACCGGAGUUUUUCACACAAAUCCAUGCGGCUUCGUGCGCUUAUGCGGUAUUAGCACCUAUUUCUAAGUGUUAUCCCCCAGUGUAAGGCAGGUUACCCACGCGUUACUCACCCGUCCGCCACUAAGAUUA
rnacentral:rRNA from 1 species